rnacentral:snoRNA from 1 species
UCAAGCCUGUGAUGUGAUGUUAUCCCUGUCUGAAAAUUCAGCUGUGAGGGAAAAUUAAUAUCAGCUGAGGCUAUC